UGUUACAAUGGCAGGUACAGAGGGAUGCUACCGGGCGACCGGAUGCGGAUCUCGAAAGCCUGUCCCAGUUCGGACUGGAGUCUGCAACCCGACUCCACGAAGUUGGAUUCGCUAGUAAUCGCGCAUCAGCCAUGGCGCGGUGAAUACGUUCCCGGGCCUUGUACACACCGCCCGUCAAGCCAUGGGAGCCGGGGGCGCCUGAAGUCCGGGACCGCGAGGACCGGCCUAGGGCGAAACUGGUAACCGGGGCUAAGUCGUAACAAGGUACC
rnacentral:rRNA from 1 species